GCGAGAGUGGCGGAACUGGUAGACGCACAGGACUUAGGAUCCUGUAUCCCCAGGGAUGUGGGGGUUCGAGUCCCCCCUCUCGCACCA
rnacentral:tRNA from 1 species